AUGAGGACGCAAGUUGAUCUUAUGAUAGAAGGAAUCCCUUCCCACGCUUGGACGUCCGAGACGGCGGCGGAGCUUCUGGGCUCGUCAUGUUUGGUGGAGAGCUUGGCGCCGGAGACUGAGAACAGGGAGGACUUGUCCUUGUUCAAGUUGAGGGCCUGGUGUGUGGAUCCGGACGAGGUGCCUGCAGAUAGGCAACUUUGGGUUACGGAGCCGGUGAUGGUUGGAGGGCCGGCGGCGAGGUCGCCCACAUCUCGAGCGCUGCUGGAGUACAAGACCCUGAUUCACAUCGGUAGGGUCCGUGAUCACGAAGGCCCGGAGCGCUGGUUGAGACUGCCUAGCUCAGAUGGUAGCGGCCAGAGCGGGUUGCUUGAGGACUCUGGUGACUUCUCUGGCAGGGGAGAGUGGCGAGUGCUGCCAUGGUCGAGAGGAGUUCGCGAUCGGCGUGGAGGUGCGCCGGGCAACGGGGCGCAUGGUGGUUCCUAUAUGCGUGCCUUGAUGGGGCGUAUUGGACCAUCGGACUGGAGAAUUCCGCCCAUGGCUCAGAGCUCAGCGGCGAAGAUUCACGCGCCAGUGGUCACCGCGGUGGCAACCGGGGUUGGAGGGGGCAGGCUGUUGGCUGCCGAGGCCGCGUUGGUGGAGCCUGUGGCCGUAGAUGAUCCAGGGAGGAAGGCUAGAGCCACAGAAAAUCCGGCCGCUGAGGUGAUGGACAGGACUGCGCACGCGCCAGGAAGUAAAUCUUUCGGCCAAGGAGAUCGCCGCGCUGGGUAA
rnacentral:rRNA from 1 species